rnacentral:rRNA from 1 species
AUUGAACGCUGGCGGCAGGCCUAACACAUGCAAGUCGAACGAGUGGCGGACGGGUGAGUAAUGUCUGGGAAACUGCCUGAUGGAGGGGGAUAACUACUGGAAACGGUAGCUAAUACCGCAUACCAUCGGAUGUGCCCAGAUGGGAUUAGCGUGUAGGUGAGGUAACGGCUCACCUAGGCGACGAUCCCUAGCUGGUCUGCGAGGAUGACCAGCCAGACUGGAACUGAGACACGGUCCAGACGCCUACGGUAGGCAAUAGUGGGGAAUAUUGCACAAUGGGCGCAAGCCUGAUGCAGCUAUGCCGCGUGGAUGAAGAAGGCCUUCGGGUUGUAAAGUACUUUCAGCGGGGAGGCGUUACCCGCAGAAGAAGCACCGGCUAACUCCGUGCCAGCAGCCUCGGUAAUAC